GAAGGUUUCUGGGUGAAUAUGCAUGCUGCAGUGAAGCUGCCGGUGAAGGUGUUCACUCGUGGCAAGCUCUACUACCGCUCUGCCCACCUGGACGACGACCGAGGGCACCUCUUCGUUGGAGCUAUGGACCAUUUGUUCAAGCUCCGUCUCGGAGACAUAAGUGGUCCGCCGCUGCAGAUCCUUCACCUGCCUGCCCCACAGAAAAGCGUGGAAAACUGCUCAGCGUUGGGAGCA
rnacentral:lncRNA from 1 species